rnacentral:rRNA from 1 species
AACGAACGCUGGCGGCAGGCCUAACACAUGCAAGUCGAACGCCGUAGCAAUACGGAGUGGCAGACGGGUGAGUAACGCGUGGGAACAUGCCCUUUGGUUCGGAAUAACUCAGGGAAACUUGAGCUAAUACCGGAUAAGCCCGUGAGGGGAAAGAUUUAUCGCCGAAGGAUUGGCCCGCGUCCGAUUAGCUAGUUGGUGAGGUAACGGCUCACCAAGGCGAGGAUCGGUAGCUGGUCUGAGAGGAUGAUCAGCCACACUGGGACUGAGACACGGCCCAGACUCCUACGGGAGGCAGCAGUGGGGAAUAUUGGACAAUGGGCGCAAGCCUGAUCCAGCCAUGCCGCGUGAGUGAUGAAGGCCCUAGGGUUGUAAAGCUCUUUCGCCAGGGACGAUAAUGACGGUACCUGGAUAAGAAGCCCCGGCUAACUUCGUGCCAGCAGCCGCCGUAAAAC